rnacentral:rRNA from 1 species
AGUGAACGCUGGCGGUAGGCCUAACACAUGCAAGUCGAACGGCAGCACAGUAAGAGCUUGCUCUUACGGGUGGCGAGUGGCGGACGGGUGAGGAAUACAUCGGAAUCUACUUUUUCGUGGGGGAUAACGUAGGGAAACUUACGCUAAUACCGCAUACGACCUACGGGUGAAAGCAGGGGAUCUUCGGACCUUGCGCGAUUGAAUGAGCCGAUGUCGGAUUAGCUAGUUGGCGGGGUAAAGGCCCACCAAGGCGACGAUCCGUAGCUGGUCUGAGAGGAUGGUCAGCCACACUGGAACGGAGACACGGUCCAGACUCCUGCGGGAGGCAGCAGUGGGGAAUAGUGGACAAUGGGCGCAAGCCUGAUACAGCCAUACCGCGUGGGUGAAGAAGGCCUUCGGGUUGUAAAGCCCUUUUGUUGGGAAAGAAAAGCAGCAGGUUAAUACCCCGCUGUUCUGACGGUACCCAAAGAAUAAGCACCGGCUAACUUCGUG